UACGUAGGUGGCAAGCGUUGUCCGGAUUUACUGGGCGUAAAGAGCGCGCAGGCGGUCGUUCAAGUCGCGUGUGAAAGCCCCCGGCUCAACUGGGGAGGGUCACGCGAUACUGAUCGACUCGAAGGCAGGAGAGGGAAGUGGAAUUCCCGGUGUAGUGGUGAAAUGCGUAGAUAUCAGGAGGAACACCGGUGGCGAAGGCGGCUACCUGGACAGAAACUGACGCUGAGGCACGAAAGCUAGGGGAGCAAACAGG
rnacentral:rRNA from 1 species